GACGAACGCUGGCGGCGUGCUUAACACAUGCAAGUCGAACGGAAAGGCCCUGCUUUUGUUGGGUGCUCGAGUGGCGAACGGGUGAGUAACACGUGAGUAACCUGCCCUUGACUUUGGGAUAACUUCAGGAAACUCGGGCUAAUACCGGAUAGGAGCUCCUGCUGCAUGGUGGGGGUUGGAAAGUUUCGGCGGUUGGGGAUGGACUCGCGGCUUAUCAGCCUGUUGGUGGGGUAGUGGCUUACCAAGGCUGUGACGGGUAGCCGGCCUGAGAGGGUGACCGGCCACAUUGGGACUGGGAUACGGCCCAGACUCCUACGGGAGGCAGCAGUGGGGAAUAUUGCACAAUGGGCGGAAGCCUGAUGCAGCAACGCCGCGUGCGGGAUGACGGCCUUCGGGUUGUAAACCGCUUUCGCCUGUGACGAAGCGUGAGUGACGGUAAUGGGUAAAGAAGCACCGGCUAACUACGUG
rnacentral:rRNA from 1 species